rnacentral:rRNA from 1 species
CAAUAGCGUAUAUUAAAGUUGUUGCGGUUAAAAAGCUCGUAGUUGGAUUUCUGCCGAGGACGACCGGUCCGCCCUCCGGGUGAGUAUCUGGUUUGGCCUGGGCAUCUUCUUGGAGAACGUAGCUGCACUUGACUGUGUGGUGCGGUGUCCAGGACUUUUACUUUGAGGAAAUUAGAGUGUUUCAAGCAGGCACACGCCUUGAAUACAUUAGCAUGGAAUAAUAAGAUAGGACCUCGGUUCUAUUUUGUUGGUUUCUAGAGCUGAGGUAAUGAUUAAUAGGGAUAGUUGGGGGCAUUCGUAUUUAACUGUCAGAGGUGAAAUUCUUGGAUUUGUUAAAGACGGACUGCUGCGAAAGCAUUUGCCAAGGAUGUUUUCAUUG